CAGUUAUAACAAGACUCACACUCCUAAUUAUAGGACGCUACAAGGUUCUGCAAAUUCAGUCUCCUUGCUAGAAUAGAAGAUCCGCCAGGAUCAAUACUCUCCCUUUUUAAAAGAACAAACUAGCAGGAGCUCAACCUUGUUGGAAUGGAAAAUCCUCCUCUCGAUCAAUAGUCCUCCAUUUUAGAAGAGCAAAGCCACACCAGAUCAGAAUUUCAAGUGGUGGAAAUGCAAUGUCAGGGUCAUCUUCUUCAUAGAAUAUAAAAGUAUCGAGCUUUGCCUUUGCUUUGAAAGGUUGUACAGUCAUACAACCAAAACUGCAUCUCUUGUAGAAUCUUUUGUGUUUGGUUUAGAAGAAGAGGGGUUCGAAGAAACCUAAAACAACGCAUUUCCGUCACAGUCAUUAAAGAAUCCAUGCGUAUCUCCAUCCUAGCCAUCCGUGAUGCAAUAUCGUCUUCUGCCAUUUGUUGAGGUCCUCAAUGAGCAAAAAGAGCAAAGAAAGACACCGCAGCGAUCAAAACAAAAGCAACAUCACUCGGAACGAUCCCCGACGCCCCGCUCACCAUAGGCGGAGAAGGAGCCAGGCUGGGCUCCUGUGCGCUGGAC